GAAUAUUAAUAUAUAAAACAACUUCGGCUUAAACUAAUCAUUUGAUCGUAAACACGAAGAUUAUAAAGUCAAUGCAAUCCAUCCAUUCACGAUGAAUUUUUAGGACGGGGAUAAGUAUUCUAUCCUAAAAUUAAUAAGAUUGACUGAAAUUACUUAUAUAUCCUUCGUAUUUAUCCCCAAAUAAAUAGAUAAAUAUUACGGAUUCCUAUGCCAAAAAUUGGCGUCCCCGAACUCGAACACCCCGCUGUCAUCACCCACUCAUCUUUGCCAUUCCAGCUGUUCUUCUAACCGUUCAUCACCCCGAUCACAUUACGCCCCACCUCCUCUCUCGAGGGACCCACGCCAUAAAAUGUCUCGCGCGCAGAGGUUUCCGCCGUGGAGCGGGAGAGGCAACUCAGGCGGAGGCGGAGGCGGAGGCGGAGGGAGAGGGAGGAAGCGCCACCAUGGCCCCUUCCGUGAGAGGCCGAGGUGGCAGCGUCGCCGCUGGGGACGUCGGAGGAGGAGCAGGAGAAGGCGGUGGAUACUACCCUGCGCCUCCUCCCAUCCCCUUCUCGAGACACCACCUGGAAGUGACGGUGAUCUCGGCUCAGGAUCUCUACCCGGCCGCCCGGUCGAUGCGCACAUACGCGGUGGCCUAUUUUCGGCCCGACCACCGCGCCCGCACCCGCAUCGACGCCUCCGGCCACACCGACCCCACCUGGAACGACAAAUUCGUCUUCCGCGUCGACGACGCCGUCCUUCACUCCGACACCUCUGCCAUCACCAUCGACGUCUACGCCGACCGCCCGGGCCUUCUGCCGGGCCCCGACAUCCUCCUCGGCACCGCCCGCGCCCUCCUCUCCACCCUCCGCCCCUCCUCCGCCAUCCACUACGCGGCCCUUCAGAUCCGCCGCCCCGCCUCCCUCCGCCCGCAGGGCAUCCUCAACCUCGGCGUCGCCCUCGUCGACCCCUCCGCCCGCACCGUCCCCGUCCACGCCAACCGCGGCCACGCCUCCUCCACCCCCAGGCCCGAGGUCCCGAAGCCCAAGCGUCCCACCGCGGGAACCAGUCGAGCGGCGGACCGGGAGAGGACGGAGCUGGAGAGGAAGCUAGAGAAGUGGAGGGCCGAGCUGCCGCCAGUCAGCGGCGAGGUGGUGAGACAGGAGAAGGGAGGACGCAACCGCGGCGCCCCCGUGGCCGCGGUCGUCGAGGACGAGCCAGUGAUUCGGCCGCAGAGGAAUCGGAGCUUUAAGAGGUUUGCGUGCUUCGGCGGCGGAAAUGUGGAGUCGGGGGAGUUCGUUGCCGCCCCGCGAUAUGUGGAGGAGAGGCCGCCGAGAAGGGCCGCUAGGGUUGCCGUCCAUCGCCACAAGGGGUAAGGGUCAUCUUGUAAGUUCGUUUUUGUUUGUGGGUUUUUCUGCAUAGUAGCAUAAAUCCAAAUAAGACUAAUUAUAUAACACCAUAAAUCUUUAUUUUUUUAAAAAAUUAUAUUAAGAUUUUUAUAUUUUAUAUUAAUAUUUUACUUUCAAAAUACUAAAUAUAAUUAAUUAUAAAAAUAAUCUAUAAUUAAUCCUCAUAAAAAUUAAUUUUGUAUAUUUUAUGAAAAAAAUGAAAGAAAUAAAUAUAUGACUGGUUAGUCUUCGUUACUGCAGCUAUAGAGAUCGAGAAGGGCUGCUCAAUAUUUGAUCAUCAUAUCACUUAUUUACGUGGCAAGAUGCGUCAGAAAAGGGUGCAACAUGUCAUGUGGAGUUGCAAUAACCAUAUCCAGUCUGCUUCCGAGUCCAUUCAUCCGUGAUCGAGUUCUUUAGUUCUCCGACACAGUACGGAAAUUUUUUUGGUGUGUUCUUCAAACGCUUCUUUUGUAAGAAUUAUUGAGGUCCAAACGAUUUGAAACGACAGCUGAAAUAUAGUUGGUUGACGUAAAAUGACGUGGAAAAAUAAAUAUACCUUUAAUAUAAAAUCAAAACGGUGCAGAUGAGAUCUCAGCCCCCUCUUCUGAUAAUGAAAACGACGAUCACACGCCUGUCACGUGAGUACCACGUGGGAAAGGCCACUGUGAGAUAAACCCCUCGCCGCUGUCCUCUGCGUCGGUCUGUUUUACUCUG
rnacentral:lncRNA from 1 species